AUGACAACAAAAACACCAAAAAUAGUUACAUCAGGACCAACAACAUCCUCUACCACAGCUGUUGUUGAAACCACGACCACAGUUCCACAUGUGGAAACAACAGGUCAAGGAUCCACCACGGUUACAUCUAAACCAUCUGUGAGUACUGAAAUUACAUCUGGACCUUUCACUACCACUAAAGGAACAGCUGCAACACCUACAGAGACAACAGCAUUUGAAUCCACAACAGCCACAAUUAUGACAACAAAAACACCGAAAAUAGUUACAUCAGGACCAACAACAUCCUCUACCACAGCUGUUGUUGAAACCACGACCACAGUUCCACAUGUGGAAACAACAGGUCAAGGAUCUACCACGGUUACAUCAAAACCAUCUGUGAGUACUGAAAUUACAUCUGGGCCUUUCACUACCUCUAAAGGAACAGCUGCAACACCUGCACAAACAACAGCAUUUGAAUCCACAACAGCCACAGUUAUGACAACAAAAACACCAAAAAUAGUUACAUCAGGACCAACAACAUCCUCUACCACAGCUGUUGUUGAAACCACGACCACAGUUCCCCAUGUUGAAACAACAGGUCAAGGAUCCACCACGGUUACAUCAAAACCAUCUGUGAGUACUGAAAUUACAUCUGGGUCUUUCACUACCACUAAAGGAACAGCUGCAACACCUCUACAAACAACAGCAAUUGAAUCCACAACAACCACAGUUAUGACAACAAAAACACCAAAAAUAGUUACAAUGGGACCAACAACAUUCUCUACCACAGCUAUUGUUGAAACCACGACCACAGUUCCACAUGUUGAAACAACAGGUCAAGGAUCCACCACGGUUACAUCAAAACCAUCUGUGAGUACUGAAAUUACAUCUGGGUCUUUCACUACCACUAAAGGAACAGCUGCAACACCUCUACAAACAACAGCAACUGAAUCCACAACAACCACAGUUAUGACAACAAAAACACCAAAAAUUGUUACAACGGGACCAACAACAUUCUCUACCACAGCUAUUGUUGAAACCACGACCACAGUUCCACAUGUUGAAACAACAGGUCAAGGAUCCACCACGGUUACAUCUAAACCAUCUGUGAGCACUGAAAUUACAUCUGGGCCUUUCACUACCACUAAAGGAACAGCUGCAACACCUGCACAAACAACAGCAUUUGAAUCCACAACAGCCACAAUUAUGACAACAAAAACACCAAAAAUAGUUACAACGGGACCAACAACAUUCUCUACCACAGCUAUUGUUGAAACCACGACCACAGUUCCACAUGUUGAAACAACAGGUCAAGGAUCCACCACGGUUACAUCUAAACCAUCUGUGAGUACUGAAAUUACAUCUGGGCCUUUCACUACCACUAAAGGAACAGCUGCAACACCUACAGAGACAACAGCAUAUGAAUCCACAACAGCCACAAUUAUGACAACAAAAACACCAAAAAUAGUUACAUCAGGACCAACAACAUCCUCUACCACAGCUGUUGUUGAAACCACGACCACAGUUCCACAUGUUGAAACAACAGGUCAAGGAUCCACCACGGUUACAUCUAAACCAUCUGUGAGUACUGAAAUUACAUCUGGGCCUUUCACUACCUCUAAAGGAACAGCUGCAACACCUGCACAAACAACAGCAUUUGAAUCCACAACAGCCACAAUUAUGACAACAAAAACACCGAAAAUAGUUACAUCAGGACCAACAACAUCCUCUACCACAGCUGUUGUUGAAACCACGACCACAGUUCCACAUGUGAAACAACAGGUCAAGGAUCCACCACGGUUACAUCAAAACCAUCUGUGA
ensembl:lncRNA